UACGUAGGUGGCGAGCGUUGUCCGGAAUUACUGGGUGUAAAGGGCGUGUAGGCGGGGAUGUAAGUCAGAUGUGAAACUCCGAAGCUUAACUUCGGAACUGCAUCUGAAACUGUGUCUCUUGAGUGCUGGAGAGGAAAGCGGAAUUCCGAGUGUAGAGGUGAAAUUCGUAGAUAUUCGGAAGAACACCAGUGGCGAAGGCGGCUCGCUGGACAAGUAUUGACGCUGAGGUGCGAAAGCGUGGGGAGCAAACAGGAUUAGAUACCCGGGUAGU
rnacentral:rRNA from 1 species